AACGCACCUUGCACCUUUUGGUAUUCCGAAAGGUAUGCCUGUUUGAGUGUUUUGAAAUAUCAUUCUAAAGAUUUUUAGAAUGAAUUUGGGUGUUGCCACUGGCUCACCUUAAAUGUCUUAGUGGCUUAUUAGAACGUAAUAAGUUUCGUUCGGGCUGCUAAUAACCCCCAACUUUUUUUUUAAACCUCAAAUCAGGUAGGACUACCCGCUGAACUUAA
rnacentral:misc_RNA from 1 species